rnacentral:rRNA from 1 species
UGGGGAAUAUUGCGCAAUGGCCGCAAGGCUGACGCAGCAACGCCGCGUGGGUGAAGAAGGCCUUCGGGUCGUAAAGCCCUGUCAGGUGGGAAGAAAGGCUUUAGGUCGAAGAGACUGGGGACUUGACGGUACCACCAGAGGAAGCACCGGCUAACUCCGUGCCAGCAGCCGCGGUAAUACGGAGGGUGCGAGCGUUAUUCGGAAUUACUGGGCGUAAAGCGCGUGCAGGCGGUUUGACAAGUCUGAUGUGAAAGCCCCGGGCUUAACCUGGGAAGAGCAUUGGAAACUGUUGGACUUGAGUACUGGAGAGGAAGGGGGAAUUCCCGGUGUAGAGGUGAAAUUCGUAGAGAUCGGGAGGAAUACCAGUGGCGAAGGCGCCCUUCUGGACGGCUACUGACGCUGAGACGCGAAAGCGUGGGGAGCAAACA